rnacentral:rRNA from 1 species
UACGGAGGGGGCUAGCGUUGUUCGGAAUUACUGGGCGUAAAGCGCGCGUAGGCGGAUAGGUUAGUCAGAGGUGAAAUCCCGGAGCCCAACUUCGGAACUGCCUUUGAUACUGCCUGUCUGGAGGAUGGAAGAGGCAAGUGGAAUUCCGAGUGUAGAGGUGAAAUUCGUAGAUAUUCGGAGGAACACCAGUGGCGAAGGCGACUUGCUGGUCCAUUUCUGACGCUGAGGCGCGAAAGCGUGGGGAGCAAACAGG